GCGCUGCUGUGAGUCAAGGCGAGAAAGGAAAGGCAAGACUGCAGCGUCAGGGCACUAGCCCAGUGCGUUUAUUUAUAUGUUCCUCUUACUCUUCACCUGGAACUUGGUAAACCCGAACAGCUCCCUUUCACCUACAAAUGAGUCUGCCUGCUUUUUACUUGCAAAUAGUCCUGUUUCACCUGUAAACCACCCUUUUCAUCUGUAAAUCAGGACUUCCCCUGUGAGUGGACUACUUUCUCACUGCGGAUGGGCCAGCCUCUCCCCCCGGCAGGCCCUAAACACGGAUGUCCAGCCCCACUUCUGAGCUUGUCAUUGAAAGGGGUCUCGAGCCCCCUUUGGGUGCCCCCUCCCAAUUAGGCCACUCACGCACCGAGAGGUCCGGCAGGAGAUCUUUAUUGUAGGGAGGCGAGCGGGAGGCAGGAAGGCAGAGAGCGAGAGAGCGAGGAGAGGAAGUGCGGCGAUAUUUAUAGGGCAGGCAACGGAAGAUCCUUCCUUGGGAGAAGCGGUCUUUGUUAUCCUAUCGCAAGCCAGGUUGUCUUUUGAAUUUCGCGCUUUACAAUUUCGGCGGGAGAAAGGACUCAGAGUCAGGAAAGAGCCCGGAAGGAUACCAGCCACUGGGCCGAGGAUUCAUCACGACCUCGAUUUAACUACUACACCUACAACUAUUACAUCUCCAGAGGCUGCGUUUCCAAACAAGGUUGAUGUUUCAGGGAGAUACCAUUCAGCCCAGCGCCAACAGCAAGAUCUUUUCAGGAGAAUAAAGCGGUUCUCACAGAGGCAGCCAGGAGCCCACAGAAGUCCACUCGUAAGGAGAUGGUGUAACAAAAGCAACAAACCCAAGUUUCAAAGGAGAGAUGAAGCAGGAUCCACUGUCGCACACAUCCCUGGGAGAAAGGAAUCCGGCUGGCAAGGAGCAGAGGCAAAGAGCCGGUCCAAGAGGGGGCAAGUCACCGUCUCCUGGCCCGGACCCUUGUUCUACAGUCUGUCCAUCUACCCUGGUAAUACUGGUAGCACUUGCUCAAGGUGUGAGCCUCCAAGCUAGAAAGGGCACAGAGCACACAGCUGGCCGCUGCCCUUGGGUGGACGCUCCUGGCUCCUCGCCCGGGAAAGUGCUGUGGUCCGUUUCUUCUCUGCCUGGCUCCCCCUCGGGGCUCCUCUGACCCAGGCAGAGAAGAACCCCCGGGGAAUGGAGGGGUCUGUAGGGGAACCGGGUUGGUGACACCCAGGCUCCAGGCUCCCAGGGGGUGCCUACGAGUCUGAUGAGGCCACGUGACAGGACAGUUGUCCACUCCUGGCCACCUGACUUAGGAAGCAGCUCACAACCCGCCACCAGGGAGGCCUGCACGCUGUUCUUCAGCAUCCUUGUCUGUUGGGUUUUAUUAUGUUGUGCCCCCCCCAGCUUUGCCUUCAGCAGCCAACUAGAGUGCUUCUGGGUGAAUGUUUGUUUAUAUAUGUCAUGUUGCUGUCCCUUUGGGACGAAUAUGUACAUCUGAGACAGGAGAUGGUGUUUGUUUUUUAAACUAAGUGGAACUGCCAAACACCCUCUUCCAGGUCAUGGAAAGUUGCCCUAUUAAGAGUUUACCUAAGAAAAAUCUGUGCCAAUUAUAACAGGUAAGGAGAGGAGAGGAGAGGAGAGGAGAGGAGAGAGAGAGAGAGAGAGAGAGAGAGAGAGGGAGUAACGCUUUGGCAUUUCUGAGUGACAUAAGAUUCUCUCCUUCUUAGCAAUUCUACACUUCGUUCUUGAUAAUUUUAGGGUCUGCUGUGUCUUUUGCCAUGAGAAUUAGCAUCAGCAGCUUUCAAAAUGGCUUACCAGUUAGCCCCUCCAGAAAUCUUAGGACAUUAUUCUUUUCUUCUCCAAAUUUUCCAUCUCUAAACCUUCUAAUUCUCCUUCAAAUUUCCAUCUGUAGAGUUAAUGCAAUCCAGUAAGAAAAUAAUGUGCUCUUGAGACACUGACAUGCGCAGAGCCAUCUUAUCCUGCCCUAAAGCCUGGAAAGUCUGAAUUUUUCUUGGGAUAAAAAAGUAAGACAUAAUAGAAUAAUUCACUGUACUGUUAACAAUUAAAUCAGCAAUCGAACAUCGUGCAUUGGUAAAUAUAAUGCUCACAACAACCAA
ensembl:lincRNA